rnacentral:rRNA from 1 species
GAUGAACGCUGGCGGCGUGCCUAAUACAUGCAAGUCGAGCGAACAGACGAGGAGCUUGCUCCUCUGACGUUAGCGGCGGACGGGUGAGUAACACGUGGAUAACCUACCUAUAAGACUGGGAUAACUUCGGGAAACCGGAGCUAAUACCGGAUAAUAUAUUGAACCGCAUGGUUCAAUAGUGAAAGACGGUUUUGCUGUCACUUAUAGAUGGAUCCGCGCCGCAUUAGCUAGUUGGUAAGGUAACGGCGUACCAAGGCAACGAUGCGUAGCCGACCUGAGAGGGUGAUCGGCCACACUGGAACUGAGACACCGUCCAGACUCCUACGGGAGGCAGCAGUAGGGAAUCUUCCGCAAUGGGCGAAAGCCUGACGGAGCAACGCCGCGUGAGUGAUGAAGGUCUUCCGAUCGUAAAACUCUGUUAUUAGGGAAGAACAAAUGUGUAAGUAACUAUGCACGUCUUGACGGUACCUAAUCAGAAAGCCACGGCUAACUACGUG